GUACACUCCUGCGGGAGGCAGCAGUGGGGAAUAUUGCACAAUGGGCGCAAGCCUGAUGCAGCCAUGCCGCGUGUAUGAAGAAGGCCUUCGGGUUGUAAAGUACUUUCAGCGGGGAGGAAGGCAAUACGGUUAAUAACCGUGUUGAUUGACGUUACCCGCAGAAGAAGCACCGGCUAACUCCGUGCCAGCAGCCGCGGUAAUACGGAGGGUGCAAGCAUUAAUCGGAAUUACUGGGCGUAAAGCGCACGCAGGCGGUCUGUCAAGUCGGAUGUGAAAUCCCCGGGCUCAACCUGGGAACUGCAUUCGAAACUGGCAGGCUUGAGUCUUGUAGAGGGGGGUAGAAUUCCAGGUGUAGCGGUGAAAUGCGUAGAGAUCUGGAGGAAUACCGGUGGCGAAGGCGGCCCCCUGGACAAAGACUGACGCUCAGGUGCGAAAGCGUGGGGAGCAAACAGGAUUAGAAACCCCUGUAGUCCCAUGAU
rnacentral:rRNA from 1 species